GUUGAUCAUGGCUCAGGAUGAACGCUAGCUACAGGCUUAACACAUGCAAGUCGAGGGGCAGCAUGGAGUCAGCUUGCUGACUUGAUGGCGACCGGCGCACGGGUGAGUAACGCGUAUCCAACCUACCCCAUAGUAGGGGAUAGCCCGUAGAAAUGCGGAUUAAUACCCUAUGUUUUCCGAGGAGGACAUCUGACUUGGAACAAAGAUUCAUCGCUAUGGGAUGGGGGAUGCGUCCGAUUAGCUUGUUGGCGGGGUGACGGCCCACCAAGGCGACGAUCGGUAGGGGUUCUGGGAGGAAGGUCCCCCACACUGGUACUGAGACACGGACCAGACUCCUACGGGAGGCAGCAGUGAGGAAUAUUGGUCAAUGGGCGAGAGCCUGAACCAGCCAAGUAGCGUGCAGGAAGACGGCCCUACGGGUUGUAAACUGCUUUUAUCAGGGGAUAAAGUGUGGGACGUGUCCCUCAUUGCAGGUACCUGAUGAAUAAGGACCGGCUAAUUCCGUGCCAGCCGCCGC
rnacentral:rRNA from 1 species